rnacentral:misc_RNA from 1 species
GUUGAAUUCCAAGUGGGUUUUCAUAAAUCUUCUCCGCGGGAUUCUGGUUUUAUGCAUGAGCUUUGGCUUGGAAUCUGCAAUAGUUGCUGCUAAUCGUGGAAAUGAGACUGACAGACUCGCUUUACUCGACUUCAAGAAUCUGAUAACUCAAGAUCCUCUUCAAGUCAUGAGUUCCUGGAAUGAUUCAGUCCAUUUCUGCAAUUGGCUUGGUGUUUCAUGCGGCUUGUCUAAGGAUAGAAUAGUAACUUUGAACCUGGAAUCUCAAAGAUUGGCUGGCUCCAUACCACCUUCUAUAGGAAACCUCACCCAUCUGACAGGAAUCAACUUGUACAACAACAGUUUUUUUGGUGAGCUUCCUCCAGAAAUGGGUCGCCUAUGGCGCUUGCAGCAUUUAAACUUGACCUAUAAUUCCUUUGGCGGGAAAAUUCCAACCAACCUCACUUACUGUAAGGAACUUACAACAUUUUCAGCAUCUUACAACAACUUCAUAGGGGAGAUUCCAGAGCAGCUUAGCUCAUUGUCCAAGCUGGUUGCCUUUGGUCUUGGAGAGAAUAACCUUACAGGAAGCAUCCCAACCUGGAUAGGGAACUUCUCUUCUCUGAUUGGUCUUUCACUUGCCCUGAAUAAUUUUGUGGGAAAAAUACCCAAUGAAAUCGGUCGGCUUUCAGGCUUGGGCUUUUUUCAACUUUAUGGCAAUUAUCUUUCUGGUACGAUCCCUUCUUCAAUUUAUAAUAUCUCUUCCAUAUACUACUUCUCUGUCACUCAAAACCAGCUUCAUGGGGAAUUACCACGAGGCGUUGGCCUGACUCUUCCGAGGCUUAGAGUCUUUGCUGGUGGUGUUAACAACUUUACAGGGGUUAUUCCUGCGUCGUUGUCAAAUGCUUCUGGACUUCAGGUGCUUGAUUUUGCUCAAAAUAGUCUCACUGGGACUAUUCCCAGGACUCUACAAAGAUUGCAAAGCUUAGUUAGACUUAAUUUUGAUGUUAAUAACUUGGGAAAUGGGGAAGUUGAUGACUUGAAUUUUCUUAGUUCGUUGGCUAACUGCACUAGUUUAGAGGUUUUGGGUCUGGCAAGAAAUCAUUUUGGAGGAGAAUUGCCUAGCUCCAUAGCCAACCUUUCAACCAAGUUACGAAUUUUUACUGUAGGAGAGAAUCUGAUCCAUGGAAGCAUCCCCAUUGGAAUUGAGAACCUAGUUAACUUGGCCCUUCUGGGAUUGGAAGGUAACUAUCUCAGUGGAAAUGUUCCAGCUGUAAUUGGGAAACUGCAGAAAUUAGAAGGUUUGCAUUUGAAUUAUAACAGAUUCUCUGGAUCAAUCCCACCCUUCCUAGGUAACUUGACUAGAUUGACUAGGCUUUUCAUGGAGGAAAACAGAUUUGAGGGUAGCAUACCUGAAAGUCUGGGAAACUGCCAAAAUCUUCAAAACCUAAAUCUCUCGAGUAAUUUCCUUAAUGGAAGCAUUCCCAAACAGGUCAUCGGUCUUCCUUCCAUCUCAAUUUCUUUGGUUAUGUCUCAAAAUUCCUUGAGUGGUUCCAUACCAUUAGAAGUAGGUAACUUAGUCAAUCUCAUGGAGUUGGAUUUGUCACAGAACAAAUUGUCUGGUGGAAUUCCUAGCACGCUUGGCAGCUGUGUUAGUUUGGAACGCCUGAACUUGGAGGGUAAUGAACUUGUAGGAACAAUUCCUGAGUCUUUGGAAAACUUAAGAGGUAUAGAAGAACUUGAUCUUUCAAGCAAUAACAUGUCUGGUGUGAUUCCUGAAUUUCUCAGCAAGUUACUGUUCCUCAAGCGUCUCAAUCUUUCCUAUAAUGAUUUUGAGGGAGAAGUGCCAGGAGAAGGUAUAUUUUCAAAUGCCAGUGCCAUUUCAAUUAUUGGAAAUGAUGAACUCUGUGGUGGUAUCCCAGACUUACAUUUGUCUG